rnacentral:rRNA from 1 species
AAAUGAAUUGACGGGGGCCCGCACAAGCGGAGGAACAUGUGGUUUAAUUCGAUGAUACGCGAGGAACCUUACCCGGGCUCGAACGGUUGAGCAAUAAUGAUGAAAGUCAUUAGCUAGCGAUAGGCUCAGUCGAGGUGCUGCAUGGUUGUCGUCAGCUCGUGCCGUGAGGUGUCGGCUUAAGUGCCAUAACGAGCGCAACCCUUAUCGAUAGUUACUAGCAGGUAGCGCUGAGGACUCUAUCGAGACUGCCGGCGUAAGCCGCGAGGAAGGUGGGGAUGACGUCAAAUCAGCACGGCCCUUACGUCCGGGGCGACACACGUGUUACAAUGGGCUAUACAGCGGGUUGCCACUUGGUGACAAGGCGCAAAUCCCUUAAAAUAGCUCCCAGUUCGGAUCGGAGUCUGCAACUCGACUCCGUGAAGCUGGAUUCGCUAGUAAUCGCGCAUCAGCCAUGGCGCGGUGAAUACGUUCCCGGGCCUUGUACACACCGCCCGU